AGGGAUGUAGCUCAGGGUCGAGGUGCUUGCCUAGCAUGCAGGAGGCCCAGGGUUUAAUUCCCAGCAUUGCCA
rnacentral:tRNA from 1 species